GCCAGGAAUUUGCGCGCUCAAAAUGGACGCCAGUAUUCGUUAGUGCGUAGUAAUCUUUGACCUUGGGUAUACGUUAACUGCAUUGUAUAAAUUCAACCGACGCUUGACUAAUCCGUGAGAAGACAGUGGAACUUUCUCGAAGAAUUUAUUUCUCGGCUUUAUUUUAUUAAAUAAAAUAAAUGCAACUAAACUGAUCUUUUAGAUGUUCAAGAAUAAUUAUAAUUAAUCGAGUAACUUAAUAAAAUAAAUUCUUACGACAAUUAACAUCGCAAGGUCCUUGAGCAGUCCUCGGGUAUAAACCCCCUUGAGGAAUCUCAACGGCAACUAACAAAUAAAAUUUAAUUGCAAUAAAUUAAUUAUUGAAUUAUUAUUAAACAAAUUAUUAAUGAACAAGAAAUAACCAUAAAAAUGAUUAAUUAAAUGAGAAGUAAACCGAGUAUAAACCCCGCGGUCCACUCCUAGCCUACAGAGUAAUCAUUGAUACCUUUAUGAAUAUACGACGAUCUAACUCACUACUGGAGAUUCAAGUCCUAGAUGUUAUUGGCUUCUGUCGAUAGGUAACAAAUCCGGGGAUCCGUUCUUCUUGAUUUGUGGCACACUGUCUGGCGGUUACACUACUUCUCUCUGUUACAACGCAUGGCUCACCUAUAUAAUAACCCCCAAAAUACCCCCUCCUACUCUCUCUUUAGGCCUGAAGAUCGAGGCGCACCAGUGCUAGUCGAAUAGUUAUCGAUCUCUGGCGACUUAUCGAUACAAGGUAAUUUUACCCUGUUACAAUAUAAUUAUUUCUAAUUAUUUCAAAAUAAAUUUGGACUCGGCUUAGGUGAUGAGUCACCAAAACCGACAUUUCAAGGCGGCUUAUAUUCAUUCAAAAUUAUAUUUUAUAUUUUCACUUGGAAAAUUGUGAGUCACCAAAACGCAUUCGUCAUGUUCAUCUCGCGCUCAACCAAUUGUCGUGUUCAUGUCAAUUUUAUUGUAACGCAAUUGUUUAAAAUAACUACAUUUCAGUGAUAUUGUCUACGCUCAAAUAAUUAAUAGUUUAUAUUAAUGAUGCUAUUAAUUAAUUAAAUAAAAUACAAUCAAAUAGUCAAUGUGAUCUAAAGCAUUCAAAUGUUCAAAUAAGUUCAGGAAAUCAUGUGUUCGAACUCUGUACUGUGAUAAUUAUUUUAUUAAAUGACAAUAUUCCUUGAUUGGUGUUUUUAGUUCUUUAUCACCCUAUCCCGGCAAAUCAAAAAAUAAUUUUGUAAUUUUAAGUUAGUUUAUUUUACAUUAAUUGGUCCCUCGAGCCGGAUAGGGUGAUGAAAUCAGUGAAUAGUGAUCAUAGUCCACACAUUCCUAAACAAUCACUCAUUCGUUUUCUCAUGCAUUCUACAGGUAAUCAGUGGGAUCACAAUGUCUGACGACAAAGUCCCGCCUGCGAUCAACCCGGAUGGUGUCAUCGAGACUCCACUUCAACAGCAUCCAGUUACUCCAACGAUCACUCUCGACCCACCGGGCGGCCACUCAUCUACUGACAUUCAUGUCAGUGAUUCUGACCUCACUGAUGAUGGAAUCAACAAAAAUAAUCCACCUGCGGACCCGGAGAAUAAGAAGAAACCUCGUAAGAAGUCUACCGCGAAGUCUUGCGACUUGGAGUUCAAGAUCGCCGGUCAAAUGUCACGCCUGAGAGCCAUCUCAGACGCGGAAGCCAUUUCCGCCGCACUCACCGUGACCGAAGGUUCAGCUGCACUCAAGGCACGAUUGGAUGUCCUUACCCAGAUGUGGCAGCAGUUCGUACUCAACCACGAUCAGCUUGUAUCCUCUGGUACUCCAGAGCUCUUAGAGCAUUCAUAUGUUAAAGACGGCGUCUUUGACCUCGCGCAUCGAUCAUUCACCUGCGCUCAUACUCGCCUGUCUACACUCAUCAACCUACUCGCAGCUCCUGCUCAGCCUGUGGUAGCCACAGGCCACACACAAGAGAUCGCCAGUCCCGUUAGCCUGCCACCACUGGACAUUCCAGCCUUUGAUGGCAAUUACAGUGCUUGGCCAGACUUUCGCGACAUGUUUACCGCCAAUGUGAUCGAGAGAAAGGGAAUCAAGCCGGUGCAGUGCCUUCACUACUUAAAGAACUUCCUCAAGGGUUCAGCCGCUCAGCUCGUUGCGAAUCUGCCGAUGUCCAACGAGAAUUUCGAAACCGCAUGAGAUGCCGUUCGUCAACGAUACGACGUUCCCAGGUUACUCAUCGGAGCACAGCUAGACAAGCUCAUCAGUCUCCCAGUACUUACCUCAAGAUCAUCUACUUAACUCUAUUUACUUAUCAACCGCGUUCAUGAAGCACUCAUGGCACUCAAAGCUCAGAAUGUCGAGUUCAAUGAAGCUGACUCCCAUCUUCUAACCCAUCUCAUCAUCGGGAAGUUGGAUCGAUCAACCAGAGAGGCCUGGGAGGUGUCUCUUGGCUCUUCAGUAAAUUACCCGAGGCUCAACAAGCUAAAUGAAUUUUUGCUGGAGCGUGCACGUGCCCAAGAACGUUACGAGGGCACCACACCGAAUUCAGCCAACUUGAAAGGAUCAUCGCAUUCGUCAUAAAAAUCAUCAAAGGUCAAGCAGAACACUUACGCUUAUGUCGCGACAAGCGACAGCAUUCAAAACGCCCAAUCUUCACAAUCAAUUCCGGAGACUUCACUUCCCAAGAUACCGGUGCCAAAGCCUCAAUACCUUUGUGACAUAUGUGGUGGUGAACACUAUGUCGUACGGUGUGAACAAUUCGUCGCACUUACCAACAAGGAUAGCGCUCAAGCCAUCUUACGAUACAGACUAUGUCCCAACUGCCUUGGACAUCACCGAGUUGAAGUUUGCAAAUCUACUAAUCGGUGCAAAAUCUGCCAGAAGGAUCAUCACACAAUGAUUCACCCUGGUAGAUUUGAAACAACUAGCCAGAGCUCUUCCGCAUUGAACACUCAAUGAGAUCAUCAGCUUCCGUGUGAUCAUGCAACAAGUAAUCACCAAAGUUCAUCAGCAUUCAUCCACCAGCAAUCGUCCAGUAAUCAAGAUCAGCAAUCAAGAAAUCGCCAUACUCACAAUCAACUAACUCAGGCCUCACAUUCACCAGCUUAUCACCCUUGUCAAGUCAGCAACUUGUCAAGUCUACAUCGUGACAAAGCUAAGUACCAUUCCAAUUCGCUCUUUACUAGACACUGGUUCUGAGAUAUCCUUUAUUUCAGAUUCUUUAGUCCAAACACUUAAUCUCUCAUGCACUCAGUCACACUUAAACGUCCUGGGGAUCGGUUCCGCGAAGGCUGGCCGCACCAAAGGUUGUGUGAACAUCACUCUACGUUCUAAUGAAAUGUAAUCAUUUAGCUAACGAAAUCAACAUCAGAACACAUUUCCUGGGUGGACUGUCCACUCAAUUACCAGCCAGUUCGAUACCAGGUGUUGAUCUGGCAGCAUUCAGCGACCUCAAGCUCGUCGAUCCAGGCUUCUCUUCACCAGGCCCGAUUGAUAUUAUCAUCGGGUCCGAUUACUACGGUCAAAUCAUCAUCAACAAGAUUAUUCGAGGGGAAAACCCUGGGCUUUUCGCUCAAAACACCAUUUUUGGAUGGGUCAUUAUGGGUCCAGUCCGUAUUCGAGCUCGUUACUCCCCAAGGACAUUCCAUGCUAUCUCUACUCAUCAAGAUCAAAACCUUCAGAACCUUUUGACUCGGUUCUGGGUCCAAGAAGAAAUCACCAGCAUUCACACAAGUUCAUUUUCGCCUGAAGAAGAGGCCUGCGAGGCCCACUUCAAAUCAACACACACUCGAGACAGUAUGGGAAGAUAUAACGUCAGGUUACCGCUGUUAAAGAGUCCUGAUCAACUUGGAGAUUCCUUCAAGCCAGUAAUUCGAUGCCUACAUCAUCUCAUGGGUUAUCUAAACAAGGACGCCCGGCUCAAAGCACUCUACACAGAAUUCAUGGCGGAAUACAUCAAUUUAAACCACAUGGUACCCGCAAAUUCAUCUUCAGAUCGUACUCAGUACUUCCUGCCGCAUCAUGGGGUGCUAAAGAAAGUCAACAAUCAAUACAAGAUCCGUGUGGUGUUCAACGGCUCAAAACCAACCAGCUCAGGCCUAUCACUCAACGAUAUCAUGCAUACCGGAUCAAAACUACAAGUAAACAUCUUCUAUGUCCUAUUAAAAUCAAGACAGCACCGCUACAUCGUUAUCACUGAUGUGGCCAAAAUGUUCAGGCAAAUUAGAGUUCACGAGGACGAUCAACAUCUUCAGCAGAUCCUCUGGUUCGACCAGGAUGGCAAUAUUACGCCAUUCAAGCUAACAACGGUCACCUAUGGCACCAAAUCAGCGCCAUAUCUUGCUGUCAGAGCCCUGCUUCAACUUUAUAAGGACGAAGGACAUCGUUUCCCACUAACAAUCAAACCACUCACCGAAGGCCGCUACAUCGACGACAUUUCCGGAGACGCAGAUGACCUGGACUCACUGCAACAAGUUGCAGAUCAAAUCGAAGCACUCUGCAUGGCAGGCGAAUUCCCGCUAGCAAAAUGGGCAAGCAAUCAUGACGAACUUCGUCAACUUGAUCAUACGGAAGCGAUUACACAAUAUAAAAUUGAAGAUCCAGAAGCCAGCACCAAGAUACUGGGACUGUACUGGUCUCCAAUCAGCGAUCAUUUCUCAUUUAAGCAUUCACCACCAAGCUCAAUCAACGCAUGCACCAAGCGUUCAAUUCUAUCAGAGAUUGCUCAAAUAUUCGAUCCAUUGAGAUUUCUUUCACCACCCAUAAUCCAAGCCAAGAUGUUUAUGCAAGAACUCUGGCUUGUGAAGCUCAGCUGGUACACUCCACUGCCUGACAAUCUAUGCAACAGAUAGAGAGCAUUCAAAAAACAAUUAAUGGCAAUCAAUAUCAUCAAAAUUCCCAGAUGGAUCCACUCAUCCACACAUUUAACGCUCGAAAUCCAUGGUUUCUCAGAUGCCUCGCAGUUAGCGAUGGCAGCUGUUGUUUUUCUCAAGGUCCAGUCUAAUGACGAUACUCAAGCAAAGGUUACGCUGCUUUGCUCCAAAACCAAGGUGGCACCGUUGAAGCAUUUGACGAUUCCACGCUUGGAACUCACCGCUGCAUUCAUGUUGGCUCAACUCACCGCAUUCUGCCAGAAAACUCUCAAUCUCACUCAUGUGCCAACUUACUCAUGAACCGACUCAUCAGUAGCACUCAUGUGGAUACAAUCGCACCCUUCUAUGUGGAAGGACUUUGUCAGGAACAGGGUGUCAAAAAUUCAAGAUCUUCUUCCAGAUGGCCACUGGAAGUCCAUACCUGGCAAGGAAAAUCCAGCCGAUUGCGCUACGAGAGGUCUCUCAACCUUUCAGCUGAAAGAUCAUCAACUACGGUGGACUGGCCCACCAUGGCUGCUCAAGAAUUCAUCGUUCUGGCCAACUAGUCCAACUCACUCUGAUGCAGAUGCUCAUCUAGAAGAACGACCGAUCAAGCUCUUCUACUCAUCGGCUCAGCCACUGGAAUCACAAUGGCCUAUCAUGGACCGGCCAAUACCUCUCUUACGCAUGUUAAGAGCAACUGUAAUAUGCAUGAGAGUACGGGACAUGAUUAAACGCAAACCACAUUCAUCUCUGAAUCACGCAAUCAAGUCAACUGAGAUCAAUCAAGCACUCCAAUUCUGUAUCAAGGAAACUCAACGCAUUCAUUUUCACUCACAGUUCAAAAUGAUCAAAAAUCAAGCAUCAUGGCCAAAGGAUCACCCAUUUGCUCAUCUGACUGCCUAUUAUGACACCGAAGGCAUCAUUCGAGUUGGUGGGCGGUUGGAGAAUGCUCCAACUUCAGAACAGCAAAAGCAUCCUGCAAUACUACCUCGUGAUGCUGGGCUCACUAAACUCAUCAUCUCUGAUGCUCAUCGGCAUACACUCCAUGGUGGUACUCAGCUAACGCUCGCAUUCAUCCGCCAAAAGUAUUGGGUCAUCGGAGGACGUCAACCAGUGCGCUCGUAUAUCCUUCGAUGCCUUACUUGUGCUCAUCAUCGGGGCCUUAGGGCUCAACAACUCAUGGGUCAACUUCCAGCUCCUCGUGUGACUCCAUCUCCACCCUUUUCUCACACGGGAGUCGAUUACGCUGGUCCAGUCAUUAUCAAGGCAUGGCAAGGCCGGGGAACAAAGACGUUCAAAGGAUGAAUUUAUGUCUUCGUCUGUUUAGCCACUUCAGCAGUCCAUCUCGAAUUGGCACUCAGGAAUCAUAUCAGCUGUUCCAGAAUCAAUUCAACUGCCGAUCUAUACGAUAAAUUUAUAAAUGAUUCAUGGGCAAAAAUUUUGACAAUCGCUCUCUUA